UACGGAGGGGGCUAGCGUUGUUCGGAAUUACUGGGCGUAAAGCGCACGUAGGCGGAUUGGAAAGUUGGGGGUGAAAUCCCAGGGCUCAACCCUGGAACUGCCUUCAAAACUCCCAGUCUGGAGGUCGAGAGAGGUGAGUGGAAUUCCGAGUGUAGAGGUGAAAUUCGUAGAUAUUCGGAAGAACACCAGUGGCGAAGGCGGCUCACUGGCCCGGUACUGACGCUGAGGUGCGAAAGCGUGGGGAGCAAACAGG
rnacentral:rRNA from 1 species